UUGUGCUAGAUGGGGAGUUAGCGGUGCCCUGUAACCCGGAACCCGCUAUACCGGGGUCGAAUUCCCACCCGAGGGUUUAGCAAUUGGUCUGUCCGACGGUUAAGCGGUGUUGAGGGUCGGGUCCUGUACAACAUAAGCCUAUAAACCCCGUCAGGACCGGGAGGUAGCAGCGGUAAGUAGUCCCUUGUGUGUGUUGCAGGCAAGCCCGGUCUGAGCUGGCUGGCCGAAAGGCGCUCCGAAGGCGGCUCGGAGGUGGGUGCACAA
rnacentral:SRP_RNA from 1 species